GACGAACGCUGGCGGCGUGCUUAACACAUGCAAGUCGAACGGUGAAGCGCCUUCCUUUUUGGUGGGUGUGGAUGAGUGGCGAACGGGUGAGUAACACGUGAGUAACCUUCUCCCUCCUUCUGGAUAACCGCAUGAAAGUGUGGCUAAUACGGGAUAUUCUGGGUCUGUCGCAUGAUGGGUGUGGGACAGAUAUUGUUUCGGUGGUGGAUGGGCUCGCGGCCUAUUAGCUUGUUGGUGGGGUGAUGGCCUACCAAGGCGGCGAUGAGUAGCCGGCCUGAGAGGGGGGUGGGCGGUCACACAGGGAAUGCGAGGCGGACAAGACUCCUAGAGGCAGCAGCAGUGAAGAAUAUGGAAUGAGCGGAGGAAUGAUGAUGCAGCGCCGCGGGGGGGGUGAUGGUGGCCUGCGCGUUGAGAACUGCUAUCGCGAGAGAAGCAAGCUGUCAGCGUCUGUGCGUGGGUUGACGGUAGCUGGAUAGGAAGCGACGGCUAACUACGUG
rnacentral:rRNA from 1 species